CAUUAUAGUGACGGCCUGUGAAAGCAGGUUUUCUUUUCGGAGACACGUAUAACAGGUGGUGCAUGGCUGUCGUCAGCUCGUGUCGUGAGAUCGUUGGGUUAAGUCCCGCAACGAGCGCAACCCUUUCCUUAGUUGCCAUCAGGUAAUGCUGGGGACUCUAAGGAUACUGCCCCGGUUAACGGGGAGGAAGGUGGGGAUGACGUCAAGUCAGUAUGUCCCUUACGUCCAGGGCUACACACGUGUUACAAUGGCCGGUACAAUGAGUUGCGACCCUGCAAAGGUAAGCCAAUCUCAAAAAACCGGUCUCAGUUCGGAUUGCAGUCUGCAACUCGACUGCAUGAAGUUGGAAUCGCUAGUAAUCGUAGAUCAGCACGCUACGGUGAAUACGUUCCCGGGCCUU
rnacentral:rRNA from 1 species